GCCCUGGUUUUACAAAAACAUCGCUCUUUGUUGUAAAUCAAAUAGGGAGUCGGACCUGCCCAGUGAAUUUUUAACGGCCGCGGUACUCUGACCGUGCAAAGGUAGCAUAAUAAUUUGCCUUAUAAUUGAAGGCUGGUAUGAAUGGUUUGACGAGAAUAAAGCUGUCUCUUUAUAAUUUAGUAGAACUUUAUCUACAGAUGAAAAAGUCUGUAUGUUAUUAAAAGACAAGAAGACCCUAUCGAGCUUUAAAGAAUCUAGUAGAAAUAAGUAUAACCUAAAGCUAAUUAAGAGUUAAAAAGCCGAUCUUCUAGAAAUUUUAGUUGGGGCGACCGAGGAACAAGAAAAGCUUCCUUAAAAGAACUUUGCUCAUUAGCUUUGAUCCAGAAACUUCUGAUUAAUAAAAUUAGUUACCGUAGGGAUAACAGCAUUAUCUUUUUUAAGAGUUCUUAUCGAAAAAAAGGUUUGUGACCUCGAUGUUGGACCAGAAUGUCCUGAAGAUGCAGCAGUCUUCGAGGGUUGGUCUGUUCGACCAUUAAUAUUCUACGUGAUCUGGUUUCC
rnacentral:rRNA from 1 species